CUGCUGUGCACCAAGCCCUGUGUUAAGGACUUUUCUGACAGUGCCUCACUUAAUUAUUUGGAGUACUUUAUGAACGCGGUCUGAGUUUCUAUCUCCGUUCCACAAAGAAGGAAACCUGUUGGAGAGAUUGCAUAUUGUGCCCAAGAUUGUACAGCUAGUGGGCAGCAGAGCCAGGAUGGAAGCGCCCUGAUUCCCAAGACUUCAUUCUUAGCUUUCCGAGGUCCAGACUUUCUCCAUCUCAGGUCCGGUGGGAAGAUUCCUCCUAUCUGGAGCCACACAGGGCUCCCUUUUCCUAAGACUGGAUCUCCCCGUGAUUUGAAGACAGUUCCUGGAGUUACCUUCCCUCCUGUCUAAAAGACCUAGAGUGGACUUCACCUCCCCCUGCAGCCGGUUUCUAGAUGUAUGCUGGCCUGGUGGCCUGAUGCCCUCCCCAACACUCCUUUCCCCCAACAACUUAAAGCGGCAAUGUUUGCUUCGUGGCUCUAGGAUCUGGACUGAAAUCCAUGGCCAGAAACUCUUUCAACUACAGGCCCUUCCAGAGUCUCCGCUAGAGACCGAUGGGGGGUGCACUUGUUUCCGCGGUACCCUGGGACCGCGGUGAGUGAGCCCGGGCUGGGGGGUCGCCACCGGUGCUCCCUGUCUGCUCCUUCCCUGCUGCCCCCGCGUCUGACCCCAGUACUGCUCCAGCCCCAGCCUGACCCAUGCGGAAGGGGAGGCGAGGCCGGGCGGCCAGUCCCCGCGGCGGGCUCUGGUCCCCGCCGGGACACUCCGCUGCGCAAAGGAGAGGCCCCGAAAGCGGUCGCCGCCGGUAGAACGGCGCCGCUGGCCGCCACCCCGGGUCGGGCCGGGUCGCCGGGGGUGGAGAAGCCCGGGCCGGGUGGCCCCAGUGCGGAGAGCCCAGGGCCCGCUUCUGGCUGCCGGCAGUGCGCCCGGCCGGCCCGAGGUCCUCGCCGCGCCCCGACACCUGGAUUGCAUUAGGCGGGCGGCGCGCGCCUCGGCGACGGCGGCUUCCCCCGUUUAUUGAAUAACUGCAUAAUUUCGAGCGCCGGUUGCCCCGUCCCUACCCCGCGUAUCAGAAUCUGGCAGCAUGGGGAGGGGAAGAGAUGUGCCCUCCCUCUUCAACAUGCAGAACACAGAAGAGAAGCCCACGCUGGAGGCCCCAGGGGUGGAGCUGACAAGACACGACCUGUUUUACUUCACUCUGCAGUCCUUUCCUGAAGCAGACAAGAUUUCUCUGCCUGCUAGGAAGAUGUAGCCAGCAGACCCAAACUUACACUUUAUGGAUUCUAAACAGAAAGAGACAGCCUUCCCUACUCGAUCCAGCAGAAAAGCCCAGGGCUUUGGUUCAUGCCCACUCCAGAACCAAUCAGCACCUGGAGAAUAUGGUACUAUAAUUGGCCCAGUCUGUGGCACACGCCCAGCCCUGAGGAGUUGGGAAGAGAAGGGUGUUAUGACUGACAGCCGCAGCAAGAUGGCAUAUCAUAGGAGAAGAGUUCCCUAAAGGAAACAGAUAAAGGGGGAUGACAAAGUAUGCCAGGCAGAAAAAUCCACAGUUGCCAAGUCCACUUGAGAAAUCUAAACUCAAAGUAGCAAAGGAUGCACCCGAGAUCCCACAGCACCUGCGUGGCAGAACUGGGAUUCGAAUCCCAAUGGACUCACAACUCAUCACCACAUCACAGCUGGAUGGGGGAAGCAGGUGUUUUAGGUCAGGACUGCAUGAACAUGGUUAGCCCAGAGACGUCCUGUGGGUGGGAUCUGCUGAGCCUUGAUCUUGGUCCCAAUGCCGAGGGUCAUUGACUGGGAUUCCUACCGGGAUCAAGCCCUGUACACAGCCUAUACCAAAUCCAGGAAGUUAUCUUCUGAUUUCCAUUUCUCAAGCCACAAGUAUGUACAGUAUUUCGCAGUAAAGAUAUCAAAGGGAAGGAGUAUGGCCACAGUACAAACAGACACGCAGGAUGGAUGAGGAAACAUCCUCUUGAAGAAAAACAUCUCAUUUGGAGACUACAAAUUGCCUUAAAAGUCUGGAGGUAGCAGUCAACAUCCUAGCUGAAAGGCCAUUUCUGAUGAGUGAAGCCCUUGACCAUGGACCAGACAGGAAGAGUGACAUCAGGAACAAACGUCACAGUGACAACAGUAUGAAGAACAACUUGCCUUCAACUGAGUACUCAGUAUGGACGAACUAUAACUCCUGCAUCAUUUCCUUUAGCCUCCUGCGUGGCCCAGGGCAUCGUCCAGGAACUUCUCCCCAGCCCUGGCUGGGCUGGGACGUCAGAGAGAAGUCAUGAAGGUUAGGGUCUGCAUGGAAUGCACCAGGGUAAAGAUGGGCUUACGGAGGGCUCUCUGGAGAGUCUCAAACAAAGACAAGGAGCAGAGAAAGGGAUUCCCAACAGUGCACAGGGACCAGAUGUGAGGGUGCCUUUGGGCCAAGGGACAGGAACUGAGCCAUUUGAUAAGCAUAUUCCUGUGAGUGUGUUUGGGCCGAACACAGGUACACACGCCCAUGCAAGCAGUCACAUGCGUGCAUGCAUGUCCGUGCCAACAAUAAACACACUCUUCCCCUCCAGCACAAUCCAAACCCAUGUUGAGGAAGAGAAACAUUUCUCCAAGCACGCUUCAAAUGUACCGAUUACCCUAUGCCUUUUGGGGAUAGCAUCUCCCAUGAUUUUUUAGAAUACUGUUGGUUCCUCAUCGUUCUUUCUCCCACUUUCAGAUGAAACCUAAGCAUCCAUGUCUCAAAUGCCAGGGACAGAGCUCCCAAAGGACACCCUUUGGUUUGAAAAAAAGCCAUAAAAAGCUUUGUUAUUGGUAUCCUUUUCUUUACUUUGGGGGCAGAUCAAAUUCCAGCAGGUAAAUCCUAGGGAUUUUGCAGGAGGGUGAGGUUGGUUAAAAAAAGAUAAGGGUGGAAAUAAUUUUGGUCCCAUUGUGAGAUAUUUUUAAUCAGCCUUCACUUGAUAGGUAAUGAGCUGUUUUUGAGUGAGAUGGGGGAAGGGCAGGGAGGGUUGCAUCCAUAGAAGUCAGGAGGACAGAAACCUGUGGCCUUUGACCAAUUCAGGAAGGUUCUAUGGAGGAGGGGUCAACACCUCCCAGAUCAUCUUUCAGACACCGCCACCGGCUCCCCCCAAGAUAUUGUGUGCUUUCAUGUGCAUUGCUUGAGUUUCCGUAAAGAUGCUUCCUUUUUCCAGCCUUAGCCUUGGUGGAUUCUGUUCACUGUGCUCACCGCGGAACCUUCUGCUCCCCCCAGCCCCGCCUACUGGGUCAAACCUGUGCUGUGCCUGUCCUUCAAAGCCUGUGCAAUGGGACUUACUCCUGCCUUCCUAAUUGUGUUUCCUGCCUCUCUCCAAAACAAUCCAUGUGGCCAAGACUAGAACACAACUAACAGGACCAACAACCAUCACUGAACGUCACUGACCAUGGGCAAGGUACUUUGCUGAGUGCCCUUCACCAUCUCAUCUGAUCCCUUAGCCUUUGGUGGGUCUUCUGUUCCCUCGGAAUGGCUAGCAUUGCAGUCACCGUCAAUACUCUAAUAGAUUCCCUUGGCCCUGGCCAUUGCUGUGAAUGCCAUAUUCUGAGGCUUCCAACUAUGAGCUGGAAGGUGUUCUCUGGACCCUGGAGCUCUGUCAGCAGGCUGGGAGUGUUGGGGAAUUAGUGGGCGCAGUCCCCAACCAAUGACUGAUGGGAGCUGGUGGACGAGUACAGCUCAGCUCCCAUAGUCCUUACUAUGGACUGAAUCUUUGGUCCCCCUCCCCAAACUCACACGUUGAAUCCUAAUCCCUGAGGUGAUAGUGUUAGGAUGGGGGUGGGGGGGUUUUGGAAGAUGAUUAGGUCAUGAGCGUGGAGCCCUCAUGAAUGGAGUUACUGUGCUACAGCCAGGAGGUGCUGUCUGUGGACCAGAAAGCAAGGCUCGUGAGACACCGAGUCUGUUGGCAUCUUGAUCUUGGAGUUCUCAGCCUCCAGAACUCUCAGAAAUACAUUUUUCUUGUUUAUUGGCCACCCAGUCUAUACUAUUUUUGUUACAGCAGGCCAAACAGACUAAGAUAUCCCUCCUAAGGGACCACUCUGAGGCUUAUUGUACAGUGUCCCAGGGAGCCCUAUUUGCCCACAGUGGCUACCUGCUUGCUACUGUGUCCUAUAUUGGCUUCCUUCCCUUCUCUGUCUUAUUCCCUUGACAGUGCUUCCUGGGAUCACCUCCCCACUGCCCUCAAUCCUGAAUACUUGCACUUAAAUUCUUGUAUCAAGGUCUACAUCCAGGGGAGCUCAACACAAAGCAGAUGGUUUAGAGGAGUCAAGCACCUGGACCCAAGUUUUGUAGCUAGAAAGUAGCAUAGUCAGCACUUGAACCCAGGGGAUACAGGUGGGACACUGAAAGAGGCUCCAAAUUCUCCUGCCUCCAGACUUUCUCACAUCUGUCCAAGCACCUGGGAUGUCUGGGACUGCCAGAAACUCUGCUGUUUGAGUUUCUGGCUCCAGGUACACGCUUUGAAAAAAGAAAAUUCCAUAUGGGAAGUAGAUCAACCUAUUAAACGAUUAUUGGCCAUCCACUCACAGCACGAAUGUAUUUACCACGUCAUGUUCUUCGCAAGAUCCCUGAACAGAGUAGGAGCUUUAACAGGGAUGAGAAAGGGAUAUGAUUUUGCAGGGAACGUGGGUCAGGGGCACCAAGCCCUUAGGCAGCUGGAGGCCCCGGAAGGAGAAAGCAGACCCUCAGAAAGGCAGCUGAGAGGGUGGUAAAAAGCAGCGUGUCCUGUUUUCCCACGUAGCUGAGAGCCAGUCCUAGCCCUUGGCUGAUAUCCUCAGCCUGAAAGGGCAUGCAGAGAUUUCUGAAUAUAAGUUGCAUAAACUGAUCUUGAAAGCCCAAGAGAAGAGAGAGGAGAGCAUGGCCCAAGACAAACCCUAAGAAAAAUAUUCAUGACAACAUGACCAGUGAUGAAAGCCACUAUCUAAUCUCUGCCUCCAGCCAGCCUUGAUGAACCCAGGGACUAGAAUUUUAAAGGGAUGCCACUUUCCUCUACCUCCCCUUCUGCCAUGGGCUCGAGGGCCUGGCCUCGUCCCUGAGAUCACACACCAGCCAGGCUGGGGGAGCCACCCGUGGGUGCCUGCUUCGAGACUGCUUGUCUACAUGCAUUUCUGGAAAGAGGAUCAACCUCCUCUUCCGAUGGGGGAGCUUGUCCCCACACUGCCCCAGCUGCUGCUGCUCAUCCUAAAGUAUGCUCCAGAAAUAAACAUCUCCCAAGCAAUUUGCAGCUGGGGGCAGAGGCCAAGUGGUGGUGGUUGCGGAUGGGGGGAGAGGUAUGAUGAGUGUAGAUGUUUUAGUUGAUAUUUGGGUAGCAAAUGCUUCUGUGAGGCUUUUUUUUUCUCUGCUGAGCAUUCGUGAGAAAAAUGUGGGUGCAAAAGCUGGGCUUAAGGCCUCUCAAAAACUCCUCCGCAGUGCAGGCCAAAAGUGAAGCAUGGUGUGGAGGAUUAUUGCAAGGGAAAGGGGCUGGCAGCUUCCUUUUGUGUUUGCAGGGCUUCAAACAGACUCCGUGAAUGGCUGGGGACUCUAACCUUGCUCAUGCGACUGUCGGAGGUAGGGAGCAUAGUGGUUAUACACUCUUCUGGGUCCAGAAGAGAGCUGGGUGAGAAUCCCAGCCUGCCCCUGCAUCAGUUGGGUGACCUACCACUUGACAACCAUUUCACUGCUUAUAAAGUGGAAACGAUAAAACAAGUUUCGAUGGGCCACUUACCAAGUGCCAGACCCACAGGUCCCAGCACGUGACGUACGUUAACUCGUGAAAUAAUCACAACAGCUCUGUGAAGUUAGUGCUAUCGUUAUUCCCAUUUUACAGAUGAGAAAACUGAGGCACGAAAGGGGCCAUAACCUCAGCUGGUAAGUGGUGCGAGCCUGCAAAUGGCCUUAGGCAAUCCAGCUGCAGCGCCCUGGACCACUCUGCCUCUCGGGUUGCUGGGACGCAUUGAUGAAAUGCGGCCUGUAAAGGGCUUGGUGUAGCACCCACCACACGGCAAGCUCUCAAUAAAUGUUAGCUUUUAUUACUAACAACACAUGAAACGGCAUAAAGCAGACUCGUCAAGCGAUCCGCACAGUUUGAGAUUCUUAACAAUGCCUGACAUUUGUUUAGCCCCAUACGCAGUUCAGAGGACUUUCCCAAUUAGAUCUCUGAGAUCCCUCCUUGAAGUCCUGUGAGGGCAGCGAGGCAGUUUAGAGUGGGUGUGAUCAUUGGAUGAACGAGGACACGGAGGUCCAGGGUCAGCGACUUGCAUAAGGUCUCAGGCCAGCUCUCCAGUCAUACCAUCCUCCAGCAAGCCUGGGUUGGUACCCCAGAGCCUGACUUACACACCAGUGGACUGAAAAAAACAGACAAACAAAAAAACGAAAACACACCAAAGAAUCAUCAGCAUGUGGCCCUUAUAGUAUGUUUCACUCAGAUUCUAUUUACACAUUUUCAUACCCAACUGUACGUUGUGUGUUACAACAGUAACAAUUUAUCAGUUAAUUAUACUCUACAAUUAGGAUCUGAAGGGAUUGCAAUUAAAGCAGAUAUUGCAAAUCCACAAAAUCUCCCCCCCAAACUCCCCCGAACAACAGAAGACCAAGAGUCAAACAAUGAAACCGAUAUUUGUAUAGCGUUUUCCAUGUUAUAAACAUGUGUGAUCUCAUGUCAGCCUCCUGACAAUCCACUGUUGGACAUGAUUGUGCCAUAGAACUUGGACUGAAUGGAGCUACUGUAACAGAGAGUUCCAUGGCCGCGGUCAAACCUUCUACUCUGUGGAGUUUUUGCCUGCAUGUUUGGUCAGUUACCAAGAGGGUAGUUAGUGUUAACAUCCCCCACUAUGUUUCAGUAAGACUCUGGAGCUAGAACGCUUGGUUUUAAAUCUCAGCCCCAACACUUCUUAAUUCUGUGACAUUGGGCAAGUUCCUUAAUAUCUUGACUUUUUCAGAAUUCUAACCUAGGAAGUAAGAACACCUGCCUCAUGUGACUCUGACCUGUCACAUAGGAAGUGCUGUUUGCUUACACAAAUUAAAGCCAAAACUUACGUCCCACAAAGACUGUAGAAACAUGUGUCUCUCCUUUAUAGGUCUGUCAAUUUUUACCUUACAGAUUUUGAGGCCAAGUCAUCAGGUGCAUGCAAAGGCAGAAUUGUCGUAACUUCUCAGUGACUUGAACCUUCCGUUUUUACAAAACGUCUGUCUUUAGCCAUACGUUUCGGCACCAUCUACUUUCUGGUAUUAAAACAGUCACACUGGCUUUCUUUUGAUGAGUGUUUGCAUGGAAGAUCAUUUUCCAUGUCUUUGCUUUCAACUUUCAUCUUUGCACUUUAGACCUGUCUCGUGUAAGGAGCAUUCAGUUGUUUAAAAAUUUAAUCUUUAAUCAAAUUUUCAACUUUAAUUGGAGCACAUAGUCCCAUUUACAUAUAACUGUCUCUAUAUUUGAGUUUAAAUCUACAACCUUUGU